rnacentral:tRNA from 1 species
AAGUCUGUAUUCUAUGUUAAGGAUUCUUGGUUUUGGUCCAAGAGGAGUAGACUUA